GUGCUCGCUUCAGCAGCAUAUAUACUAUAAUUGGAAGAAUACAGAGAUCAGCAUGGCCCCUGCACAAGGAUGACACGCAAAUUCAUGAAGCGUUCCGUUUUUGA
ensembl:snRNA U6 U6 spliceosomal RNA